AGCAGACUAGAUCUGACCAGAGGACACCCUCAGUGCGACUGGGAUGAGACUGACGCUGCUGUUUGCGCUGCUGGUCGCUGGCCUGGCGGUAAGCUGGGCCCAGGAGCCUGUGUCUGUUGAAGAUGAUGCUGAUGUGGCUGUUUCUGCCGCCGAAGAUCUUCAGGGCGCUGACCUGGCCAGUGAUGAGUCGCGCUUCUACGGACACUACUGGCGUCCGCGCUACCACAGGCGCCGCUACUGGAGGCCUCGUUUC